ACCUGCAGUCGACGCGAAAGUCCCGCAAGGGAUCAGUAGAGUGGCAAACGGGUGAGUAACACGUGGGUGACCUGCCUUCGAGCGGGGGAUAACGUCCCGAAAGGGACGCUAAUACCGCAUGACAUCCUGUCUUUUGAGAGAUGGUGAUCAAAGCCGGGGAUCGCAAGACCUGGCACUCGAAGAGGGGCCCGCGCCCGAUUAGCUAGUUGGUGAGGUAACGGCUCACCAAGGCAACGAUCGGUAUCCGGCCUGAGAGGGCGGACGGCCACACUGGGACUGAGACACGGCCCAGACUCCUACGGGAGGCAGCAGUGGGGAAUUGUUCGCAAUGGGCGCAAGCCUGACGACGCAACGCCGCGUGGAGGAUGAAGAUCUUCGGGUCGUAGACUCCUUUCGAUCGAGACGAACGGCCCUGGAGUGAACAACUCCGGGGAGUGACGGUACCGAUAGAAGAAGCCCCGGCUAACUCCGUGCCAGCAGCCGCGGUAAUACGGGGGGGGCAAGCGUUGUUCGGAAUUACUGGGCGUAAAGGGCUCGUAGGCGGCCAACUAAGUCGGAGGUGAAAUCCCUCGGCUUAACCUGGGAACUGCGUCCGAUACUGGAUGGCUUGAGUAUGGGAGAGGGAUGCGGAAUUCCAGGUGUAGCGGUGAAAUGCGUAGAUAUCUGGAGGAACACCGGUGGCGAAGGCGGCAUCCUGGACCAUUACUGACGCUGAGGAGCGAAAGCUAGGGGAGCAAACGGGAUUAGAUACCCCGGUAGUCCUGGCCCUAAACGAUGAAUGCUUGGUGUGGCGGGUAUCGAUCCCUGCCGUGCCGAAGCUAACGCAUUAAGCAUUCCGCCUGGGGAGUAC
rnacentral:rRNA from 1 species